GUCGUGAUAGCUCAAGCGGUUAGAGCAUCGGCGUAUUGAGCCGAACGUCGCGGGUUCGAAUCCCGCUCGUGACA
rnacentral:tRNA from 1 species